rnacentral:lncRNA from 1 species
CCCACAGCAACUGAAUUCAUGUGUGACUGCUGGAGAUGACUCAUGAUUCAUAAGUGACCCCUGACACACUGAGCAUCUACUUAGCCUUUAAAGAUUAUUAUGUCAUUCCUCUUACUAUUUUACAGACUAGAAACAAACAUGGAUCUUUAAUAAUUCUGAUCUACUAUCCUUCACCAUGUGAUUUAAAACUAACUUUGUUCAUUGUGGAAUUUAGAUAAACCAACACACUCACUAAGAAAGGAAGAUUAUUUCAGAUCCCAAAGGUUCAUGGGGUAAUUUAUGAGAUCCUUGAGAACUUUUUUUCUUUAUUAAGUUUAAUAAGGCAACAGAAUAGCACCCACGUGUUUAAAGCAGCUACACCCUCAGCAGGCACGAGUUUUCUGAAGCUCCCUUUUCUAAGUGCUGCCUCUUUUGACUACUAAGAAAAACAAGGAAGCAAGUAAAGGUCUGUGGUGAGCUACACAUUUGAUCACUGUGUACGGAACUUGUGGCCUAUGAUCACACAAAACCCCAUUUCCUGCUUGAGGUAAUGAAAGACACACAGGCAGUUCAUGUGCACACUGCCUGUUGCUCAGACUGAGAGCUGAGCUGAGCUGAGGUGGAACAGACACACUCCUGCAGAGGGACAUGUGCCACAUUCCUCCUCAGAGCCUGCUCUGUGUGCUGGUGGCCUUGGCUUUGUCUGGUAUGAUGCAUCACGUAUAACUAAGUGUAUCUAACAGGAAGCAUUGCCCCAGGCAAAUGACGGUUCCUAUAGAUACGAGGGGCAAGAAGGAGUUGAGGGAAGCCAGAGAAAUUUGUAUUCAGUUGCCUUUCUCUUUGGGUCCUAAGGGGCCCAAUUCCAACAAUGUUUGGUUCACACUUCCACAGGAUAAGCUUUUAAUUCGUUCUUCUGGUUGUUUUGCAGGAUGUAAUAUGGCCCAGAAAGUGACUCAAGCUCACUCAUCAGCAAGCAGGCAGGAGGGGGAAGAAGUCACCCUGGAGUGUUCAUAUGAGACAAAACCAGAGGAGCGGCCGCUAUUCUGUAAUCUUCCAGCAAUCACUCAAGUCCAUCAGCCUUGUCAUUUCAGCCUCUCAGCCAGAGGAUUCGGGGAAGUAUUUCUGUGCUCUCUGGGAAACUGACACAGUGUUUGAAGUGAUAGCACAAGCUGAACAAAAACUGGGGCUCCUUAAGCAGAGGCUCCCUGAGAGAGGGAGCCCAGCUGAGAUGCACACCUGCACAUCCUGAACAAGAAGAUCUCAACUGUGGAUGCCCCGUCUGUGGUCUGCAUGAGAACUGUGUUUCUAAGUAAAACCUCAGGGCAUGCAAUUUAGAAAUAAUUAUCGUGAGCGGCUUUGUAUACUACACUGACUUAAAACAGAGUUAAAAAUAGACUGCUGAGAAUAUGUGUAAUAUUUUCUUCACUUGGGAAUCUUGCACCACAAUAAUUUGAAGUUUCUCUUUAAUUUGUUAACAGAACAUACCUCAGAGGAGGCAUCUGGAAUAGCAAAGAGCAUAAUUUCCUGGAGAAAGCUACACUCAGAAGGAGAUCCAGCAUGAAUGUGGUAGUCAGAGACAGACUAUAAGGAUUUCUCUCCAUGAAAUACUGGUGGUGACUCCACCAAUCUUUACCUUUGUAUCUAAUGCUGAGCCUGAGGUACUGAAGUUCAGCUUAACCAGCAGUUGGGGAGGACAGGUACAUGAGCAUAGCACCUGGCUGUCCUGAGAUUUGUAAGAAUUCAGUGAGACCCAGAAAGCCAAUGGAAUCUAGAAGGAUAAACCUCCCUCACCUCCUCAGUCCCUCUGGUUUGGGGGAGCAUCAGAAAUCACGCCAUUUGCCAAUGUGAUGCACACAGAAUCGACCUGAAUAAAGAAAAGCUGUAGAAGUGAGGAGUAGAGAGUUAAUGGUAAAGUGAGCUGGAAUCUAAUGGACAUCAAAUAUUUAUGGGGCCUGAAUCUGCAGGGCUAUAUAAAAAUAAUUAAAUACAUCACACCUGUUUCUUAAGUCUUCUACAGCUGCCUUUUCCAUGUCCACCCCCAAAACACAGCAACAUGGAGAAGGAAAUUCUGAGAAAUGUGUUUCCAGAUAUGUUUUUAAAGAUUAUUUUUAUAUCAUGUGUGUAACCUUUUUGUCAGCAUGUAUAUGUGUGUACUGGGUGAAGUCUGGUGCUCAUGGAGGCCAGAAAGGGAUAUUAGAUUCUGGAAAUUGGCGUUAUUAGAGGAAAGGAUUUACCACGUGGAGGUCAGGCACUGAAUCUAAGUCCUCUGCAAAAGCAGUGACUGCUUUUAAUUAGGGAGUGUAUGAUCCAGGUCCUGUUUCUAGGUAAUUUGCAUAAACUGUACAUGAUAAAGAAGGUAAAUAACUUCAAUUCACCAAUUAAAAACCAUAGGCUACCUGGGGGCAUUGACAAAGAAUACUAUCUGUGUCUCCAGGAAACACUUCCCGUAGCUAAGGACAUCAAACACUGAAAGUCCAACCAUAGAGAUCAGCAUCGGAAGUAAUUGACAGCUGUAAACAUGGCACUGCACGUCUCAUAUUUGACAAAGGAGACUUCAGGCCACAGCUAGUCAGAGAGCUGAGGAGAGCCACUGCAUAGCCACAGAGGGUAAGUCUUGUGCAUGUGAGUACACGGAGCAUGGCUCCCGGUUCAACAAAAUAAACUCUAAUUGACAGAAAAUGUCACAUGGGUCCCUAAUCACUAAUGAUCUUAGACUUCAAUGUUUCACUGUGACUUUAGCAAGUCUUCCUAAAUUAAAAACCAACAAGGAAACUUCAGAGCAGAAGGAUUCUGCAAGUCCACCUCUCUGAGUUUGGCAGGAGAAUCCCAGGCAGGGAAGGGAAGCCAAUGUGCACUCAGAGAACUCACUGAAUGCAAGCGACAGAAUCUUAGCAGACGCAAAAUUUAUAUUCUUUACUGUAAGAAGCAAAAGCCUGAGAAGUCAACAAGGACACAAAUUUAAAGAACGUUUUAAUGAAUAAAUAAGUGUAAUAUCCUAUGAAUUUGUUAGUAGUUGUCCUUUUUAACGGUUCCUCAGGAGUGGUAUAGCUGGGUCCUCAGGUGGUAGUAUUCCAAAUUUUCUGAGGAACGUCCAGAUUGAUUUCCAGAGUGGUUGUACCAGCUUGAAAUCCCACCAGAAAUGGAGAAGUGUUCCUCUUUCUCUACAUCCUCGCCAGCAUCUGUUGUCACCUGAGACUUUUAUCUUAGCCAUUUUGACUGGGGUGAGGGAGAAUCUCAGGGUUGUUUUGAUUUGCAUUUCCCUGAUGACUAAGAAUGUUGAACAUUUCUUUGGGUGCCUCUCAGUGAUUCAAUAUCCCAGGAAAUUGGACACAGUACUACCUAAGGACUCAGCUAUACCAUUCCUGGGCAUAUUCCCAAAAGAUGCUCCAACAUAUAACAAGUACAGAUGUUUCACUAUGUUCAUAACAGCCUUACGUUUAAUAGCCAGAAGCUGGAAGCAACCCAGAUGCCCCUCAACAGAGGAAUGGAUACAGACAAUGUGGUACAUCUACACAAUGGAGUAUUACUCAGCUAUUAAAAACAAUGACCAUGAAAUUCAUAUGCAAAUGGAUGGAACUAGAAAAUAUCCUGAGUGAGGUAACCCAAUCACACACAAAAAAAGAAACACACACACACACACACACACACACACACACACACACACACACGGUAUACACUUACUGGUAAGUAGAUAUUAGCCCAAAAGUUUGAAUUACCCAAAAUGCAAUGCACAGAACACAUGAAGUUCAAGAAGAAGGAUGACCAAAGUGCGGAUACAUCCAUCCUUAGGGGGAACAAACAUAUUCACAGGAAGAGAUACGGAGGCAAAGUUUGGAGCAAAGGCUGAAGGAAAGGCCAUCCAGAGACUGUCCCACCUGGGGAUCCAGUCCAUGUCCAUACAGCCACCAAACCCACACAAUAUUGCUGAUGCCAAGAAGUGCAUGCUGACAGUAGCCUGAUAUAGCUGUCCCCUGAGAGUCUCUGUGAGAGCAUGACAAAUACAGAGGCGAAUGCUCACAGUCAAUCAUUGAACUGAGAAUGGGGUCCCCAUUAGAGGAGUUAGAAAAAAGGAUUGAAGGAGCUGAAGGGGCUUGCAACCCCAGAACAACAAUACCAACCAACCAGAGCCCCCAGGGACUAAAUCACCAUCCAAAGAGUACACAUGGACAGACCCAUGUCUCCUCUGCAAAUUCAGAGGAUGGCCUUGUUGGGCACCAAAGGUAGGAGCCCUUGGUCCUGCCAAGGUUAGACCCCCCAGUGUAGGGGAAUAUCAGAACAGGGAG